rnacentral:rRNA from 1 species
GAUGAACGCUGGCGGCGUGCCUAAUACAUGCAAGUCGAGCGAACGGACGAGAAGCUUGCUUCUCUGAUGUUAGCGGCGGACGGGUGAGUAACACGUGGAUAACCUACCUAUAAGACUGGGAUAACUUCGGGAAACCGGAGCUAAUACCGGAUAAUAUUUUGAACCGCAUGGUUCAAAAGUGAAAGACGGUCUUGCUGUCACUUAUAGAUGGAUCCGCGCUGCAUUAGCUAGUUGGUAAGGUAACGGCUUACCAAGGCAACGAUGCAUAGCCGACCUGAGAGGGUGAUCGGCCACACUGGAACUGAGACACGGUCCAGACUCCUACGGGAGGCAGCAGUAGGGAAUCUGCCGCAAUGGGCGAAAGCCUGACGGAGCAACGCCGAGUGAGUGAUGAAGGUCUUCGGAUCGUAAAACUCUGUUAUUAGGGAAGAACAUAUGUGUAAGGAACUGUGCACAUCUUGACGGUACCUAAUCAGAAAGCCACGGCUAACUACGUG